UACAGAGGUCUCAAGCGUUGUUCGGAAUCACUGGGCGUAAAGGGUACGUAGGCGGCAAGGUAAGUCGUGCGUGAAAGGCAGGGGCUCAACCUCUGGAGUGCGCGUGAUACUGCUUUGCUUGAGUAAUGGUGGGGGAACCGGAAUUCUUGGUGUAGCAGUGAAAUGCGUAGAUAUCAAGAAGAAGACUCGUGGCGAAGGCGGGUUCCUGGACAUUUACUGACGCUGAGGUACGAAGGCCAGGGUAGCGAAAGGG
rnacentral:rRNA from 1 species